rnacentral:rRNA from 1 species
UAGUCCACGCAGUAAACGAUGAGUGCUAGUUGUCGGGAUUUUUCUCGGUGGCGAAGCUAACGCGUUAAGCACUCCGCCUGGGGGGAUACGGCCGCAAGGCUAAAACUCAAAGGAAUUGACGGGGACCCGCACAAGCAGUGGAGCAUGUGGUUUAAUUCGAAGCAACGCGCAGAACCUUACCACCUCUUGACAUACUUAUCGCGAGGACCUGAGAGGGACCUCUUCAGUUCGGCUGGAUAAGAUACGGGUGCUGCAUGGCUGUCGUCAGCUCGUGUCGUGAGAUGUUGGGUUAAGUCCCGCAACGAGCGCAACCCUCGCCUUUAGUUGCCAUCAUUUAGUUGGGCACUCUAAAGGAACCGCCGGUGAUAAGCCGGAGGAAGGUGGGGAUGACGUCAAGUCCUCAUGGCCCUUACGGGUGGGCUACACACGUGCUACAAUGGCAGUGACAAUGGGUUAAUCCCCAAAAGCUGUCUCAGUUCGGAUUGUUCUCUGCAACUCGAGAGCAUGAAGUU